rnacentral:rRNA from 1 species
UACGAAGGGGGCUAGCGUUGCUCGGAAUCACUGGGCGUAAAGCGCACGUAGGCGGAUUGCUAAGUCAGGGGUGAAAUCCUGGAGCUCAACUCCAGAACUGCCUUUGAUACUGGCGAUCUUAGAGUCCGGGAGAGGUGAGUGGAACUCCGAGUGUAGAGGUGAAAUUCGUAGAUAUUCGAAAGAACACCAGUGGCGAAGGCGGCUCACUGGUCCGGUACUGACGCUGAGGUGCGAAAGCGUGGGGAGCAAACAGG